CAUAGGUUAAUGAGGCGAACCGGGGGAACUGAAACAUCUAAGUACCCCGAGGAAAAGAAAUCAACCGAGAUUCCCCCAGUAGCGGCGAGCGAACGGGGAGCAGCCCAGAGCCUGAAUCAGUGUGUGUGUUAGUGGAAGCGUCUGGAAAGGCGCGCGAUACAGGGUGACAGCCCCGUACACAAAAAUGCACAUACUGUGAGCUCGAUGAGUAGGGCGGGACACGUGGUAUCCUGUCUGAAUAUGGGGGGACCAUCCUCCAAGGCUAAAUACUCCUGACUGACCGAUAGUGAACCAGUACCGUGAGGGAAAGGCGAAAAGAACCCCGGCGAGGGGAGUGAAAAAGAACCUGAAACCGUGUACGUACAAGCAGUGGGAGCACGCUUAGGCGUGUGACUGCGUACCUUUUGUAUAAUGGGUCAGCGACUUAUAUUCUGUAGCAAGGUUAACCGAAUAGGGGAGCCGAAGGGAAACCGAGUCUUAACUGGGCGUUAAGUUGCAGGGUAUAGACCCGAAACCCGGUGAUCUAGCCAUGGGCAGGUUGAAGGUUGGGUAACACUAACUGGAGGACCGAACCGACUAAUGUUGAAAAAUUAGCGGAUGACUUGUGGCUGGGGGUGAAAGGCCAAUCAAACCGGGAGAUAGCUGGUUCUCCCCGAAAGCUAUUUAGGUAGCGCCUCGUGAAUUCAUCUCCGGGGGUAGAGCACUGUUUCGGCAAGGGGGUCAUCCCGACUUACCAACCCGAUGCAAACUGCGAAUACCGGAGAAUGUUAUCACGGGAGACACACGGCGGGUGCUAACGUCCGUCGUGAAGAGGGAAACAACCCAGACCGCCAGCUAAGGUCCCAAAGUCAUGGUUAAGUGGGAAACGAUGUGGGAAGGCCCAGACAGCCAGGAUGUUGGCUUAGAAGCAGCCAUCAUUUAAAGAAAGCGUAAUAGCUCACUGGUCGAGUCGGCCUGCGCGGAAGAU
rnacentral:rRNA from 1 species